CAAGAGUUUAACAACUGUCUCAACAGAGGUCAGUCUUCACCACAGAGAAGCUAUAGUUCCAGCCACAGCUCCCCAGCAAAGAUCCAGAGAGCCACUCAAGAGCCUGUGGCCAAAAUAGAAGGCACUCAGGAGUCUCAGAUGGUGGGCAGCAGCAGCACCAGAGAGAAAGCAAGCACAGUGCUUUCUCAGAUUGUGGCUUCAAUCCAACCCCCACAGUCUCCUCCAGAAACACCUCAAUCUGGCCCUAAAGCUUGCAGUGUGGAAGAGCUUUAUGCCAUUCCUCCAGAUGCUGAUGUUGCUAAGAGCACACCUAAGAGUACGCCAGUCCGGCCCAAAUCUCUCUUUACAUCUCAGCCUAGUGGUGAGGCUGAAGCACCUCAGACCACAGACAGUCCUACCACCAAAGUACAGAAAGACCCAUCCAUAAAGCCAGUCACCCCCUCUCCCUCCAAAUUAGUGACUAGCCCCCAAAGUGAGCCACCACCUCCAUUUCCCCCGCCACGCUCUACUUCUUCUCCUUACCAUGCAGGUAACCUUUUGCAGAGGCAUUUCACUAACUGGACCAAGCCAACCAGCCCUACCAGGUCAACAGAAGCUGAAUCAGUUUUGCACUCUGAAGGCAGCAGGCGGGCAGCUGAUGCAAAACCUAAGCGCUGGAUAUCAUUUAAAAGCUUCUUCCGCCGUCGGAAAACAGAUGAGGAGGAUGACAAAGAGAAAGAGCGAGAGAAAGGGAAACUGGUGGGCCUGGAUGGCACAGUCAUUCACAUGCUGCCUCCUCCUCCAGUUCAGCGCCAUCACUGGUUCACAGAGGCAAAAGGAGAGUCCAGUGAGAAACCAGCCAUUGUCUUCAUGUACAGGUGCGACCCUGCUCAAGGCCAGCUCAGUGUGGAUCAGAGCAAGGCUAGGACAGACCAGGCAGCAGUCAUGGAGAAGGGUAGAGCAGAGAAUGCAUUACUACAGGACUCAGAGAAGAAGAAGAGUCAUUCUUCUCCAUCACAGAUUCCUAAAAAGAUUCUCAGUCACAUGACCCAUGAAGUAACAGAGGAUUUUUCUCCUCGGGAUCCAAGAACUGUUGUUGGGAAGCAAGAUGGCAGGGGCUGCACUUCAGUCACAACAGCAUUGUCCCUACCUGAACUGGAAAGGGAAGAUGGAAAAGAAGACAUUUCAGAUCCUAUGGACCCAAACCCUUGUAGUGCAACAUACAGCAACUUAGGUAAGUGCAAAUGUCCAAUAAGUAGUAUUUAAACUUUGCCUUUUUCUGUACUAGCCAAAUGUUCUGUUUUCUUGGAGAGAUGGUUUUUAUUGCUCCAUGAAGCAGAAGUUGGACCAUUGGAGUUACAAAUUUUAAGUUACAUCAGAAAAACGUUCUGAUGUUUACUAGGCAUGUAUUAAACACCUGCACCCAUGAGCCCUGUGCCAAGUGCUAAGGGUUAUUAACACUGCUUUGAGGGACUCACCUGGGGGGAAAGAGGUGAACUUGUUAAUUAUUUCAGUGUAAUAUAAAUACAGUGAUAGAGAUAUAUACAUGGUAUAUUUUUAAUAUUACACAGAGGAGGGUGUCAAAAGAUACCUUUCUGGAGAUAAUUCCUGAACUGAUUUAACUAGCUGACAAAGGGGAGAAAGAACAUUCCAAUCAGAGACAACAAUAUGAGCAAAAUCAUGGAGAUGCAUGUAGGCACCACAAACAUUUAGUGUUGCUGAAAUGUGAAGUGGAGAGUUAGCCAGUGUCAUGCAUUUCAGGCUAAAACCUUAGACUUUUUGCUGUUUAUGUUAGUGAGCCAUCAAAGGUUUUUAAGCAGAGGAAUAACACAAUUAGAUUUGUUUUUUAAAACAUCCAUCCUGCAGGCUGCCAUGUGUAUGUGGAUUAUUUGGUAGCAGGAAAUUUGGUAGUUAGAUACUAUUGCAGGAUCACACAAAGGCAUGAGAAAGGGAGGCCUCAACUAAGAUAGUGGGAGUGGGGACAGUAGACAGAUUUGAGAGAUAUUUAAGACGAAAAAUACACAAGAUUGGAUAAUGUAAAGAAUCUAUAAUGUAUCCCAGAUUUCUGGCUUGGAUCAAGCAGACUCAAAAAAGUAAAGAUCCCUGUCAUUGGAGGUAUAUAGGCAGAGGCUGAUGGACCAUCUCUCAGAGAUAUUGUGAGGAGGAUGCUGCACUGCAAAGAGGGUUGAGCUAAAUUACUUCAGAGGUGCCUGCCAAUGCAAAGAUUCUGCAAUUCUCUGAUCAUCUUCACUCGUCUUCCUUGAAUGCUCAGUGACUUCUUACCUGUCUCCCUUGAGUGCCACACACUUUCCUUCCUUCUGAAAAGCAAAGCCUGAGGCAGAAUAAGGAUUUCUCAGUGCUCUUCUUCCAUGAAGUCAGGAGAGAGGUGAGUAGCCUGGACUACUACAUGCAGAGCACAAGCAAGAUUCAUAUGAACCACUGACCAAUCCUUAGACUGUUUGGAAACCAGUGGCAUCUAUCAUUGAAGUUUUUUUUACCUCAUUUCUCAUCUCCUUUCUUCUUUGUCCUUUUCCUUUGUCAGGUUAUUGUAAGGAAAAAUAAUUCUAACACUAGCUAGUGUACUUGGAAAUAAAGGAGUCCCUAAGAAGGCCAGAAAAUUAUGGUAACACUGUGGGAGAUAAUACUUUAAUAUCUCUUUUUGGGAAACUCAAUCAUAACAACCCAUAUGCAGUUGAAAAUACAUUUCGUAAGAAGAAGACUUCCAUUCUAAGUUCCAGAAGCUUUCUGUGAUUUGGGAGUAGGGGAAACAUACUAUAGUUUACCUAAACUACUAUCUUGGAUACCGUUUUCAAGUUGGAACAGAUUUUAUCAUCAAACAGCUUAUUGGACUUUUCCCAUUAUUUGAUAUUUUGUGAGGCAUAUUAUAAAAUGAAAAUGUACUGUUUACUGUAUACCCUCAGACAGCAUAAUAUAUCAGAAAUUAUCAUAUCUUCUAGACAUUCUUAUUAAACCAAAAUUUCUUUCAUGAUAGCCUCAGUAAAAUAUUUAAUUUUUACUAAUUGUACCAUAUUUGAUGGCAUCUCUAUAAAUUUUUAUUAGCUGACAUUAGUUAAAAUUAUUUUAUUUCGGGAGCCAAGAUGGCCGAAUAGGAACAGCUCCAGUCUGCAGCUCCCAGCAUGAGCAACGCAGAAGACGGGUGAUUUCUGCAUUUCCAUCUGAGGUACCGGGUUCAUCUCACUAGGGAGUGCCAGACAGUGGGUGCAGGACAGUGGGUGCGGCGCACCGUGCGCGAGCCGAAGCAGGGCGAGGCACUACCUCACUCGGGAAGUGCAAGGGGUCAGGGAGUUCCCUUUCCUAGUCAAAGAAAGGGGUGACAGACGACACCUGGAAAACCGGGUCACUCCCACCCUAAUACUGUGCUUUUCCAACGGGCUUAAAAAAUGGCACACCAGGAGAUUAUAUCCCGCACAUGGCUCAGAGGGUCCUAUGCUCACGGAGUCUCACUGAUUGCUAGCACAGCAGUCUGAGAUCAAACUGCAAGGCAGCAGUGAGGCUGGGGGAGGGGUGCCUGCCGUUGCCCAGGCUUGAUUAGGUAAACAAAGCAGCCCAGAAGCUCGAACUGGGUGGAGCCCACCACAGCUCAAGGAGGCCUGCCUGCCUCUGUAGGCUCCACCUCUGGGGGCAGGGCACAGACAAACAAAAGGACAGCAGUAACCUCUGCAGACUUAAAUGUCCCUGUCUGACAGCUUUGAGGAGAGUAGUGGUUCUCCCAGCACGCAGCUGGAGAUCUGAGAACGGGCAGACUGCCUCCUCAAAUGGGUCCCUGACCCCUGAGCAGCCUAACUGGGAGGCAUCCCCCAGUAGGGGCAGACUGACACCUCACACGGCCGGGUACUCCUCUGAGACAAAACUUCCAGAGGAACGAUCAGGCAGCAGCAUUUGCAGGUCACCAAAAUCCACUGUUCUACAGCCACCGCUGUUCUGCAGCCACCGCUGCUGACACCCAGGCAAAAAGGGUCUGGAGUGGACAUCUAGCAAACUCCAACAGACCUGCAGCUGAGGGUCCUGUCUGUUAGAAGGAAAACCAACAAACAGAAAGGACAUCCACACCAAAACCCAUCUAUACAUCACCAUCAUCAAAGACCAAAAGUAGAUAAAACCACAAAGAUGGGGAAAAAACAGAGCAGAAAAACUGGAAACUCUAAAAAGCAGAGCACUCUCCUCCUCCAAAGGAACACAGUGCCUCACCAGCAACAGAACAAAGCUGGAUGGAGAAUGACUUUGACGAGUUGAGAGAAGAAGGCGUCAGACGAUCAAACUACUCUGAGCUACAGGAGGAAAUUCUAACCAAUGGCAAAGAAAUUAGAAACUUUGAAAAAAAAUUAGAUGAAUGGAUAACUAGAAUAACCAAUGCAGAGAAGUCCUUAAAGGAGCUGAUGGAGCUGAAAGCUAAGGCUCGAGAACUACGUGAAGAAUGCAGACGCCUCAGGAGCCGAUGCGAUCAACUGGAAGGAAGGGUAUCAGUGAUGGAAGACGAAAUGAAUGAAAUGAGGCGAGAAGGGAAGUUUAGAG
rnacentral:sRNA from 1 species